UACGGGGGGAGCAAGCGUUGUUCGGAAUCACUGGGCGUAAAGGGAGUCUAGGCGGUUUGGUAAGUGGGAUGUGAAAUCCCCGGGCUCACCCCGGGACCUGCAUCCCAAACUGCUGAGCUUGAGUACAGGAGAGGGUGGGGGAAUUCCAGGUGUAGCGGUGAAAUGCGUAGAUAUCUGGAGGAACACCGGUGGCGAAGGCGCCCACCUGGCCUGCUACUGACGCUGAAGCUCGAAAGCUAGGGGAGCAAACGGGAGUUA
rnacentral:rRNA from 1 species